AACUGUAUGGCUUGAGGAUGGAAGAGGAGAGCGGAACUGCCGGUGUAAGGGUGAAAUCUGUGGAUAUCGGCAGGAACGCCAGCGGAGAAGUCGGCUCUCUGGUCCAUUCCUGACGCUCAGGGACGAAAGCUAGGGGAGCGAACAGGAUUAGAUACCCUGGUAGUCCUAGCUGUAAACGAUGGGCACUAGAUGCUUGUCCUUUUGGAUGGGUGUCGUAGCUAACGCGUUAAGUGCCCCACCUGGGGACUACGGUCGCAAGACUAAAACUCAAAGGAAUUGACGGGGGCCUGCACAAGCGGUGGAACACGUGGUUUAAUUCGAUGCUACGCGAGGAACCUUACCAGGGCUUGACAUGCUGGAAGUAGCCACCCGAAAGGAUUGGCCACCUGUAACCAAUCAGGAACCAGUGCAGGUGCUGCAUGGCUGUCGUCAGCUCGUGCCGUGAGGUGUUCCCUUAAGUGGGAAAACGAGCGCAACCCUCGUCCUUAGUUGCUAGUUUCGAGUAAUCGGAACGCACUCUAAGGAGACUGCCCGCGUUAAGUGGGAGGAAGGUGAGGAUGACGUCAAGUCCGCAUGGCCCUUAUGCCCUGGGCUACACACGUGUUACAAUGGCGCAUACAAUGGGGGGCUAAGCCGUAAGGUGGAGCAAAUCCUGUAAAGUGUGCCUCAGUUCGGAUUGAGGGCUGCAAUUCGCCCUCAUG
rnacentral:rRNA from 1 species